GGUGGCUUAGUGGUAGAGUGCUUGCCUUGCAUGCACGAGGCCCUGGGUUCGAUUCCCCAGUACCA
rnacentral:tRNA from 1 species